UGGGGAAUAUUGCACAAUGGGGGAAACCCUGAUGCAGCGACGCCGCGUGAGUGAAGAAGUCAUUCGUGACGUAAAGCUCUUUCGGCAGGGAAGAAAACGACGGUACCUGACGAAGAAGCCCCGGCUAACUACGUGCCAGCAGCCGCGGUAAUACGUAGGGGGCAAGCGUUAUCCGGAUUUACUGGGUGUAAAGGGAGCGCAGACGGCGCGCCAAGUCUGGAGUGAAAGCCCGCGGCUCAACCGGGGGACUGCUCUGGAAACUGGCGGAGCUGGAGUGCAGGAGAGGUAAGCGGAAUUCCUAGUGUAGCGGUGAAAUGCGUAGAUAUUAGGAGGAACACCAGCGGCGAAGGCGGCUUACUGGACUGCAACUGACGUUGAGGCUCGAAAGCGUGGGGAGCAAACA
rnacentral:rRNA from 1 species